rnacentral:rRNA from 1 species
GAUGAACGCUAGCUACAGGCUUAACACAUGCAAGUCGAGGGGAAACGAUAUUGGAAGCUUGCUUCCGAUAGGCGUCGACCGGCGCACGGGUGAGUAACGCGUAUCCAACCUGCCCACCACUUGGGGAUAACCUUGCGAAAGUAAGACUAAUACCCAAUGACGUCUCUAGAAGACAUCUGAAAGGGAUUAAAGAUUUAUCGGUGAUGGAUGGGGAUGCGUCUGAUUAGCUUGUUGGCGGGGUAACGGCCCACCAAGGCAACGAUCAGUAGGGGUUCUGAGAGGAAGGUCCCCCANAUUGGAACUGAGACACGGUCCAAACUCCUACGGGAGGCAGCAGUGAGGAAUAUUGGUCAAUGGACGAGAGUCUGAACCAGCCAAGUAGCGUGCAGGAUGACGGCCCUAUGGGUUGUAAACUGCUUUUAUAAGGGAAUAAAGUGAGUCUCGUGAGACUUUUUGCAUGUACCUUAUGAAUAAGGACCGGCUAAUUCCGUGCCAGCAGCCGACGG